rnacentral:piRNA from 1 species
UAGGUAUUUAUGAACAAGCUCUUC